rnacentral:rRNA from 1 species
UAGCUGUCUCCCUUUUAGAUAUAAAAAUUAGCAUUUAGGUGAAGAGACCUAAAUAAAAUUAGAGGACAAGAAGACCCCGUAGAGCUUAGUCCAUAAACUCUAUAAAUAUGAAUAAUAGUAUAUCAAAUUUAUAAUUAGUCACAAGACUUAGCUGGGGCGGCUAAGGAAAAUUCUAUCUUCCAAAUAUAAUUAUAAUCUUUAUAAUAACCUUCAAGGCCCAUAAGCCUUUAAAAAUAUGACCCUAAACUAGAAUAUAAAACAUAGCUACCUCGGGGAUAACAGAUUAAUCCUUCUUGAGAGUCCGCAUUGACAGAAGGGUUUGACACCUCGAUGUUGGCUUAGAGUACCCAAUAGAUUUGCAACAGUCUA